rnacentral:rRNA from 1 species
UACGGAGGAUGCAAGCGUUAUCCGGAAUAAUUGGGCGUAAAGCGUUCGUAGGUGGUGAUGUAAGUCUGCUGUUAAAGCGUGUAGCUUAACUACAUAUAGGCGGUGGAAACUACAUGUCUAGAGUGCGUUCGGGGCAGAGGGAAUUCCUGGUGUAGCGGUGAAAUGCGUAGAGAUCAGGAAGAACACCGGUGGCGAAGGCGCUCUGCUAGGCCGUAACUGACACUGAGGGACGAAAGAUAGGGGAGCGAAUGGG